rnacentral:rRNA from 1 species
GCCCUUCGGGGCUCCUUGGUGAUUCAUAAUAACUUAACGGAUCGCAUGGCCUUGCGCCGGCGACGGUUCAUUCAAAUUUCUGCCCUAUCAACUUUCGAUGGUAAGGUAUUGGCUUACCAUGGUUUCAACGGGUAACGGGGAAUUAGGGUUCGAUUCCGGAGAGGGAGCCUGAGAAACGGCUACCACAUCCAAGGAAGGCAGCAGGCGCGCAAAUUACCCAAUCCCGACACGGGGAGGUAGUGACAAUAAAUACUGAUACAGGGCUCUUUUGGGUCUUGUAAUCGGAAUGAGUACAAUUUAAACCCCUUAACGAGGAACAAUUGGAGGGCAAGUCUGGUGCCAGCAGCCGCGGUAAUUCCAGCUCCAAUAGCGUAUAUUAAAGUUGUUGCAGUUAAAAAGCUCGUAGUUGAACCUUGGGCCUGGCUGGCCGGUCCGCCUCACCGCGUGUACUGGUCCGGCCGGGCCUUUCCUUCUGGAGAUCCUCAUGCCCUUCACUGGGUGUGUUGGGGAACCAGGACUUUUACUGUGAACAAAUUAGAGUGUUCAAAGCAGGCCUUUGCUCGAAUACAUUAGCAUGGAAUAAUAGAAUAGGACGUGCGGUCCUAUUUUGUUGGUUUCUAGGACCGCCGUAAUGAUUAAUAGGGAUAGUCGGGGGCAUCAGUAUUCAAUUGUCAGAGGUGAAAUUCUUGGAUUUAUUGAAGACUAACUACUGCGAAAGCAUUUGCCAAGGAUGUUUUCAUUAAUCAGUGAACGAAAGUUAGGGGAUCGAAGACGAUCAGAUACCGUCGUAGUCUUAACCGUAAACUAUGCCGACUAGGGAUCGGGCGAUGUUUCUAUCUUGACUCGCUCGGCACCUUACGAGAAAUCAAAGUUUUUGG